rnacentral:lncRNA from 1 species
AAAAACAUGAUUUAACAAUGUUUCUGGAGUAUAAUACAUGAAUAGGUACUUUCGGACUUGGAUCAGAACCACAGUGUGAAGAAACACAAAGAAUACGAAGGUUGGCGCAGAGCCGAAGCUAUGCGCAGGGGAGCUUCGGCAUGACAGCAGAAAAGGAAACCGACUUAAAAGGGAAAAGGCUAUUUAGACCUCGAUGGAUUACUAUAGAGUCAUUAGCAAAUGUAAAGGGCAUGGGUGUAGUUUUACAUGGGUUGCGUCUCGUGCCUAUAAAUAGAUGAACAGUGCUCCUGUACUGUUCACGCUGACUUGGCAUUUGCUUUUACGUCACGCUUGUACUCUUACCUUCUUUCGAGCCGAAGGUACAUUUGUAACUUUUUAUCAUUUCUAUUUUUCCAUAAUAAUAAAAUAGAAAUGAAUUGAUAAUAAUACAUAAUUUCCCAUGUUAUCUUUUAUAUCUCAUAUGUUUCUCUCUUCAUUAUUAAAUGUUACGCUAGUGAAGGUAUGUCCUUCAUAACCUUCGUCCGAAAAGCAUUAUAUCCCAAGAGAAAUAAUGCUUCGAAGGACGAAGGACUUUAACAUUUAAUAUUUUUUGUGUUGCCUUGUUCUUAACUCAUAGCAUUUGAGAACAAGUCUCCAGUAUUGGCGCCCACCUCCGGUGAAUCCUUUUCGACCACCUUCGGCAAGCAUUGACCUUCGUCAUGCCACCGAAGAAAGCUUCAGCGAUAGGGGCUGCCGCUCUGCAGCCGCUGGACCCAAAUCAGGAGACCCUUUCUCUUCGAGAGGCCCGAAGCCAGAAGAGGAAAUCCACCAGUCCAACACCCCAAGAGGACGAGUUGGACCAAGAAAUCAGAAAUAUGGAGAUGCUUCAUCAGCAAGUGCAAAAGAAGAUGGAGAAGAUGGCUCGACUAGCUGACCUACAAAGGCAGAUUAACGAAGCCACUAAAGAAGUACGUCACCUUGCUCAAGACAAGCAAGACCGAAGGCCCCAGCACAGGGAGCUUCAUCAAGAGGGCUUGUUCAACGACGAUGGAUGGUAUGAUGAUUUUAAUCAUGAUACCUUUACUUUUGAUGAUGCUUCUCCCCUGGCAGCAGAACUGUAGGCCAUCCCGUGGCCCCCAUCAUAUAAGCCACCUCAGCUUCCAAUGUAUGAUGGGCAUUCAGACCCGAAGCAGUUUUUGAUGAGUUAUGAAGCAACCAUAUCUUCAUACGGAGGCAAUGCAGCUGUCAUGGCCAAAUCUUUCGUCAUGGCAGUUAAGAAUGUGGCCCAAACAUGGUAUUCUUCUCUUCGGCCAGGAACUAUCACUUCAUGGCAGAAGCUCAAAGACAUGCUGGUGACAAGCUUCUAGGGCUUCCAGACGAAGCCAGUCACAGCUCAGGCUCUGUUUCAAUGCAUGCAAGAUCACGAGGAGUAUCUCUAGGCAUACGUCCGAAGGUUCUUGCGUCUGAGAGCACAAGCACCUACAAUGCCCAAUGAAAUUGUCAUUGAGGCCAUGAUCAAGGGGCUUCGUCCAGGACCUACUGCCUAGUAUCUUGCUAGAAAGCCUCCAUAGACUUUGGAGAAGCUGCUUCAAAAGAUGGAUGGAUACAUCCGCGCUGAUAAUGACUUUCGUCAAAGAAGGGAGGAAGCCUACAGGUUCUCUGAAAUGACCAGGGGCUUUGGAGGGAGAAUCCAUCCAAGGCACGUCAGAUCAAUCCAUUCCACCCAGAAUGACGACAGAGGAAGUCAGCAACAGAGGCCACAAUAUUCCUCGCAAGCUUCGGGGCAGCAACAAAGCUAUCUUCGGCCGCCAGCUCCAAGGGGCAGAGGCGCCAAGGGCUUUGGAGGAAGGUUUGGGGAUCAACAUAGGAAAAUUUAUUGCUUAUUCUAUGGUGACGACAAGGGCCAUACUACAAGGAUGUGCCAUGUCACCAUUCAGAAACAGAAGGAAAUAGCAGAAGCUGCAGCUCAGCAGAACGAGCCGAAGCAGGUCAUGCAUAAUGCUUCAUAUCACUCACCCUACAUACCAGAGUAUGUGGGUAACCAUCCUGCAGCGUCUGUUGCUUCGGCUAGUCAGCCACAUGCAUCCUGGCCACAGCCUCCACCUCCGCCACCACUACAACCUGCAUAUUCACGCGGCCAACAGGUAGAAGGGAGUGAUUAGACCCAUCAGCAGAGAUACUUCAGGGAGGAGUCCGAAGCUCGCACAGUCAACAGUACUGUGCCAGAGUCGAAGCAUAUCUACUAAGAGAUAUCCUACCCCUGAAUCAGUUUUUACAUUCAUUGUCAUUUUCUUUCUUACUAAGGAACAAUUAUUGAAAAACCUAGUUUUCUUGUCGUUUUCAAUUCCUUGUAAUAACUUCGUUUUUACCAUAGUGAAAAUAUAUCUUCUCCAUAGACUUACGGAGUCCAAAAAGUCGCCGAAGCACAAAAAUUCGUUCUUAAGUCACAAGUAUCUCUGAAGCGUUCUACGGAACGCAGCGUAAGUUUGACGAAGUCGUUCUACGGAACGCAGCGUAAGUUUGCCGAAGCUACAAAAAGUCGUUCCUAAGGGAGCACAGUGUAAGUUUUCUGCUCAAAAGUCGUUCCAAAGGGAAUGCAGAGUCAAAUACCGUCGAAAUAUAAGGCGAAGCGCGAAAAGUCAACGCGAAUACCGUCGAAAUAGAAGGCGAAGAAGUUCAAAAGACGUUCCUAAGGGAAUGCAGAACUUACAGCAAAAAGUCAGCACUGAUACACCGAAAAAUAAACGGUGAAGCCGAAAAAUAAACGACAAAGAGAUUGUGUAUUCUAAAAUGGGGAUGUGAGUGUGUGUCUUCGGCACAAAGUAUCAUUUUCGCAUAGCAUAACAUCAUCACAUCAUUUCACAUAACAUAACAUCAUACAUCAUAUUGCAUCAAUGGCACAAGAAGGGGAUAUAAUGUUGACCUUCGGAGAAUGCUUCGAAAAAGUGAAAUUGUGCUAAGGCACAAAAUGAGUUUUGAAGAGAUAUAGCUUUAUCAGCUCUGAAGUGGAGGAAAAAGUCUGUUAUUGACGAAGUAUCAGUGUUAUGGUGACGCUUGGAGCAUUUUUUAUAAAACACUCUGAUAUCAAGGAAGAAAGUCUAUUACUGACGAAGCAUUAAUGUUUCUGCGAUGAUUGGAGGAUUUUUCACGAAGCAUAAAAACUCUUCUUUACGAAGCAUGAAAAGAAGGGAAAGUGUUUUUUCGCCGAAGGCUCAAAAACGAUAUGUACAAUAAAAAUUUCAUGUAUCACAAAGAAAUGGAUUACAAAGCCAUUUACAAAUUACAUUAAGAUCUCAUGAGUACCAAAUAUUACAAGCAUAGCCCAGCAAAUUUUACAUUAAUAUCCUGGCAAUAUUUUUACAAUAUCUAUUCUUGUUUCAAAACUUUGUCUGCAGCUUCGGUCAGUAGUUGAGUAACGACUUCGUCCAUAAUGGUUUCAGCCAUGCUAAUAAUUUUUGAUGAUUCUUUUGCCUCUACUUCGGCCAGUGGCUCGAAGGGCUCUAGGGGAGGAGAUAGUUCAGCUGCGGUAGAAAACGUAAAUUAUUUCGAAGUCGCAAAAGUAAACAUCAAAAGUAAAAAUUGUUAAGUAAUACCUAUUCGUAUCUCAAGCUCCACAGCCUUUUCAGCUGUUUUUGUCGCUUCUCUAGUGUCGUGAGUAUCUUUUUCACUUUUCUUUAUUAUUUCGUGAGCCAUCCCUCGACCGCCAUUCUCCCAAAUGUCAGUGAAAAAUUUUCCGCCUAUUAAGCUUGCCUCGGCCGAGGGAUCCUUCGUAUCAUCAAUGGAGAAAGCAGCUUCGGCUUGGGCCAAAGUUUUAACAUGUUCGCACCCUGCUUUCUCCAAAAUAGUUGCAACUCCCCUCACGCCAGAGAAGGCGCAGACAUCCCCACGGCCACUCAAAACUUCCUCAAAAGCUUCGGCUUCACUGCUGAUCCAUUCAAUUGGGCCCUCAGGAUCGCCUCUUAUGAAGUUGUCCUCGCUGGAAUAUGCGCCAACGUUGGCGAAGCUAGUUUUUAUUUUCUUCACGCAGUCCAUAGAUUUUUCAAAGCAUCUUUCCUUGGAUGUGCGAAGUUCUUCAACGUCCUUCUCUAAAUGAUUUGGCCAUUGUUCGCUAAUUCCUCGUUUAGCUUCUGCAACUGCGCACUUCUCUUUAGCUUCGGCCAGUUGCUUCCAAAGGUCUUCAAUCUCAAUUUUUUGGGCUUCAGAUUGGGUCUUAAAGUUAGCGUCAUCCUUCUUUACUUUAUCCACCAAUGUAAGCAGAAUUUUAUCUUUUUCCAAAGCUUCGUUCCUCAGCUUAAUAACCUCUGUUCGAAGGUUGUUGAAAGCAAUAGUGUAGCUCUCGUCUUCGGCGUUCUUUUGCGCUCUCAAGGCGUUGCUAAGUAUUAAACCCUAUAUGAAAAGAAUUAGUAUAAGAGCAAAAGAAUAAUUCAAAAAUUAUAAACUUCCAAAUAUACAAUUUUCGUACCUUCAGACUGUUAUAUGCGAGGCUAUCUGCAAGAUCGUCCUUCGUCAUAGCGCAGAGGCCAGCUUCAAGCUUCGGGAACCCCAUACUUCUAGCCAUCUCCCGGCAGACAGAUAAUUCUUUGUUGUCUGGGAGGCAGUAUAAGAAGUCAUCUUCGUUUGUGCCAUUGAACACUAAGGCCCCUUUUGGAUACUUCAGUUCUCGGGCAUAGUGUUUAGCUUCAAAAAUCUCUUCUUCAGAUAAUCUUUUUCCCGAAGCGUGUCGUACAAUAUAAUCAAGUACUUCGGAAGAUGCUUCGGGAGUAGAAGUGACAGUUUUUUCAGGCAGAAUUUGUUUUGCAGCUUCUUUUUCCGUUUCCUUUUCUCCGGUUUCCAAGGAUUUCUCCUUGGCGGGCUCUGAAGGCCCAGCUUCGGUCUCGACCUGGCUCUUUGUAGCUUCGGCUUCGGUUAGUUUUGUCUCAGUCUGCGUUUUUGAAGCUUCAGCAGUUUUCCCUGGAGUAGAGCUUGAAGUCUUUAUCGUCUCCAGCACAUCUAGUACGUUGACCAUCCUUUUUCUCUUGGGGGUCGCUAUAAGAUCUUUUUGUGCCUUCGGCACUGUCACUUCUGCCGAAGGGCUUCUAACUUCUAAUAUCUUUGUUCUUUCGACCUCUAUCUCUUCAAUAUUAUCGGCCUUCGGCUCAGCUAAUUUGGCCGAUGAUGCCUUCGGCAUUGUAGCCGGCUCUUCAAUCUUCUACGUAAGCGCAGGUUCUUUCGCUUCAGUAGCCAAAGAGGUCUCACCGCCAAAUUCGGGCACUGUGGUCGAUUCAAUAUAGCGCGGUCGGUGAGUAAGAACCUUCACCUUUCUCCUCUUCGGCGCGGGCUCACUCGGAGUAGCUGAAGUAACAUCCUUCCCAGAAGUUGCACUCUUUCUCUUGUGCCCCCUUGGCAGGUAGUGGUAGUCAGGAUACAUAAAUCCAAUAGCAUCAAAAACUCUGUUUAGCCUCUUCUUUUUCCGGCUCCCAAAGGUCGCAGAUAAUGCAUUAUCUUUCGCUUUGGAGUACGGCCCAAGCAGUUCAUCACUUGUAGCUUCGAUACAUUUCAGCCAGUCAUCAUUUGGCUCAUCAAAUUUAUCUCCAUAUCUAAAGGUGUAUUUCAGUCGAACUAGCUCUCCUUUGCCAGUCUUAGUGACAGUCUCCUUCGGCAUUUCCCACUUCUCUACAAGUGGCCAUACUCUGAAGGCUAUAUGCUCCUGGAUUAGACCCCUUGUCCCGAUGAAAGCGCAAACUGUGCCGAAGGCCCUUCGGUAUCCUUCGGCUGCCUCAUCAAUCUCUACCUUCGGUUUUCGGAGGCCGAAACGCUGACAGAUGGGGCGCAUGAUGAUCUCUUUAAUAUCUUCUCGUGCCUUUAAAUCAUUUUUCACAUAGAACCAUUCUUUCAUCCAGUCCCCGGGCCAUCUCUUAUGAAAAGUUGGCACUGGGCAGCUUGAGCCAGAACGAGCAACGAAGCUAUAGCAACCAAAAUUGUUAUGAUACUGCUCUUUACCCUAGGGCUUCGUCUCAUAUAAAAGUUCGUGCAUACUGCAGAAACUUUUUGCACUUGGCUCCAAGCCCUGACUCCUCACGGCCUAGACGAAGAUUCCCAUUCUUAUGAUUGCUUCGGGAGUAAUUUGGUGAAGGAAAAUCUGGUAUAUCUUUAAAACUUCAACUACAAAUCUGCUUAAGGGGAACCGAAGCCCAGCUUUGAAAAAGUUUCGGAAGAUCACGACUUCAUUCUCUUCGGGAACAGGAGCAGUUAUGUCUCCGUUGUCAGCCCUCACAAUAGACAUAUCUCGAAAAUAUCUUCCCCUCAUAUUAUCGAGAUGACUCUGUUUAAUAGUUGAUUUUCUGAAAACUGCAUGACUUGGUCGCCAGGGUUGAUCUUCGGAGUCUUCGCCGCCACUUUCCACAUCAUAACUGUCGCUGUCACCAGUGUCUUCAGAUAAGCCUUCUAAAAUCUCCCUAGUAAUUUUUUCUGUAUUUGUCUUUGCUAUUGAUUCAAUAAAGCCAGCAGUCUUCUCCUCAGAAAGCUUCUCCUCCUCGCUCAGCUUCGUCUCAGCAACAACUUUCUUAUCUUGAGACAUCUCUUCGAAAAUGGUGAAAAUGUGCUCUUAAAGCCGAAGCUUAGAAAAUCUAAAAAACCAAGCAAGCAUUGGUAGGCAAGAGCUAAAAAUUGAGCAAGCAGAGCAGACGGCAAAAAGCGUGCCAAAUGAGCUCGUGGUGUGCUCCUAUUUAUACAUCUAGUGCAUUGCAAAAUGGAGGGCCCCGCUUGUCAUUGAUUGUUGCUAUUAUAGCAAAGGGAAGGUGUUUUUUCGGACCUUCGGCUUAGGGCCUUCGUCCAUAUUGCAAUUUGAAUUCGUUAUUCUAACAAAUUAACCUUGCGAGGGGCUACUAUUGGGGGCCUUCAUCUUCCGAAGGUCCUCAAAAACAUGAUUUAACAAUGUUUCUGGAGUAUAAUACAUGAAUAGGUACUUUCGGACUUGGAUCAGAACCACAGUGUGAAGAAGCACAAAGAAUACGAAGGUUGGCGCAGAGCCGAAGCUAUGCGCAGGGGAGCUUCGGCAUGACAGCAGAAAAGGAAACCGACUUAAAAGGGAAAAGGCUAUUUAGACCUCGAUGGAUUACUAUAGAGUCAUUAGCAAAUGUAAAGGGCAUGGGUGUAAUUUUACAUGGGCUGC